rnacentral:rRNA from 1 species
CCCUUAGAUGUUCUGGGCCGCACGCGUGCUACACUGAGUGGAUCAGCGGGUCAGGUUGCACGAAAGCGUUUCCUAAUCUUUAAAUCCGCUCGUGAUGGGGAUUGACGGUUGCAAUUUUCUGUCAUGAACGAGGAAUACCUUGUAAGCGCGGGUCAUCAUCCCGCGCUGAAUACGUCCCUGCCCUUUGUACACACCGCCCGUCGCUCCUACCGAUUGAGUGGUCCGGUGAGGCUUUGGGAUCUGAGCGGAAAGAGCGUUUCGCUGUUUCUGCUCGGAAAACUCAGUCGAACCUUAACAUUUAGAGGAAGGAGAAGUCGUAACA